UGGGGAAUUUUGCACAAUGGGGGGAACCUUGAUGCAGCGACGCCGCGUGAGGGAUGGAGGCCUUCGGGUUGUGAACCUCUUUCGCUCGUGUGCAAGCCGCUAUUUGGGUAGUGGUGAGUGUAGCGGGUAAAGAAGCGCCGGCUAACUACGUGCCAGCAGCCGCGGUAAUACGUAGGGCUCGAGCGUGGUCCGGAUUUAUUGGGCGUAAAGGGCUUGUAGGCGGUUUGUCGCGCCUGUCGUGUAAUCCUCUGGCUUAACUGGGGGUGUGCGGUGGGUACGGGCAGGCUUGAGUGCGGUAGGGGAGAUUGGAAUUCCUGGUGUAGCGGUGGAAUGCGCAGAUAUCAGGAGGAACACCGGUGGCGAAGGCGGGUCUCUGGGCCGUUACUGACGCUGAGGAGCGAAAGCGUGGGGAGCGAACAGG
rnacentral:rRNA from 1 species